rnacentral:lncRNA from 1 species
GAGGAAUGGGGGCUUUGAUGUGCAACCGUUGCAUCUUGGAUGCAGAAGGACCACCUUCUCAACAUGCUACUAAAGGACUUCAGGGAUGUCCAUUCCAUCAGCAAAACCCAUUCUCCUCGAUUUGGCAAUUCUUUUCCAGUCCAUCCAUCCAUCCAUCCAUCCAUCCAUCCAUCCAUCCACCCAUCCAUCCAUCCAUCCAUGCAUCCAAGACGCUUUUAUUAAACAGGUGUUUGCUAACUGCCGGUGACCCCUCCGGGUGAAAAGAUACAGCCUCUGCUUGGCAAAGAGAACUACCAGGCAGGAUGAGAGGAAGGAGGCGGCAGAACUUCAGGGUCAGAAGAUGCAGGAGCUUUUGCAAAGAAGCCCGGGCCACCUUUUGUUAACUGUUUAACAAUCCCUUGGUUGCUGGCCGGCUCCCAUGCUCUUGCUUGGUCUGUCAAAGCAGCGGUAUUGUUCUGAGCUCUUAGGAGCCACUUGGAGAAUGUGUCAUUUUACUUUCCCUUCCUCCCACCUCUUCUGCCUCUGUUUUGCCUACCAUCAUUAAAUGCUCUGGCUCUUUAUCAUGGCUUUGAAAUCGAGAAGGACACUUUGGAAUUCAAUUAGCCACAUCGUUGCCACAGCAACAAAAAUAUAAACUUAAAUGAUUUAU